UACGAAGGGGGCUAGCGUUGUUCGGAAUUACUGGGCGUAAAGCGCGCGUAGGCGGAUUGAUUAGUCAGAGGUGAAAGCCCCGAGCUCAACUUGGGAACUGCCUUUGAUACUGUCAGUCUAGAGUACGAGAGAGGGUAGUGGAAUUUCCUGUGUAGCGGUGAGAUGCGUAGAUAUAGGAAGGAACAUCAGUGGCGAAGGCGACUGCCUGGCUCGAUACUGACGCUGAGGUGCGAAAGCGUGGGGAGCAAACAGG
rnacentral:rRNA from 1 species